UUAAGUUCAGCGGGUAGUCCUACUCGAUUUGAGGUCAAGUUGUCAGAUGUUGUCCGAAGACGGUUUGAAAGCACAGAGCUCCCGAUCGGCCACCCUCUUGCGAGGUGCCGGCGAAGAUACUUAUCACGCCGUACUAUGUCCAACCAAGAGAUGCACUAACGCAUUUGAGGUGAGCCACAAGGAAAAGCAGCAAACACCCA
rnacentral:misc_RNA from 1 species